AGCGAACGCUGGCGGCAGGCCUAACACAUGCAAGUCGAACGGACCCUUCGGGGUUAGUGGCGGACGGGUGAGUAACACGUGGGAACGUGCCUUUAGGUUCGGAAUAGCUCCUGGAAACGGGUGGUAAUGCCGAAUGUGCCCUUCGGGGGAAAGAUUUAGCGCCUUUAGAGCGGCCCGCGUCUGAUUAGCUAGUUGGGGAGGUAACGGCUCACCAAGGCGAGGAUCAGUAGCUGGUCGGAGAGGAUGACCAGCCACACUGGGACUGGGCCCAGGCCCAGACGCCAGGGGGCGGCAGGGGUGGGGACUCUGGGGGAAGGGGCGAGAGGCUGCCGCGCCGCGGCCGGGUGAAUGGUGAUGGUGUUGGGAUUGAAAAUUUCUUUUGCCGGGGAGGAAAUUACGGUGACCGGGAAAAAAACCCCGGCUAAAUUCGGG
rnacentral:rRNA from 1 species